GAUGAACGCUGGCGGCGUGCCUAAUACAUGCAAGUCGAGCGAACAGACGAGGAGCUUGCUCCUCUGACGUUAGCGGCGGACGGGUGAGUAACACGUGGAUAACCUACCUAUAAGACUGGGAUAACUUCGGGAAACCGGAGCUAAUACCGGAUAACAUGUUGAACCGCAUGGUUCAACAGUGAAAGACGGUCUUGCUGUCACUUAUAGAUGGAUCCGCGCCGCAUUAGCUAGUUGGUAAGGUAACGGCUUACCAAGGCAACGAUGCGUAGCCGACCUGAGAGGGUGAUCGGCCACACUGGAACUGAGACACGGUCCAGACUCCUACGGGAGGCAGCAGUAGGGAAUCUUCCGCAAUGGGCGAAAGCCUGACGAAGCAACGCCGCGUGAGUGAAGAAGGUCUUCGGAUCGUAAAACUCUGUUAUUAGGGAAGAACAAAUGUGUAAGUAACUAUGCACGUCUUGACGGUACCUAAUCAGAAAGCCACGGCUAACUACGUG
rnacentral:rRNA from 1 species